AAAUCUGGAAUCUCAAGUUUCAGGCGUGCAAGAGAAACUGCCAAGCUAGAGACCGGGAGACGUAAGGAGUACGGUUAGGGUAGCGGUAAAAUGCGUUGAUCCUUACUGGACUAACGAUAGCGAAGGCACCUUACGAGAACGGAUCUGACAGUGAGGGAUGAAGGCUAGGGGCGCAAAACGGAUUAGAUACCCGUGUAGUCCUAGCAGUAAACACUGCACACUAAACAUCGGUACCUCCUCGAGAGGUAUCGGUGCUGCAGGGAAGCCGUAGAGUGUGCUACCUGGGAAGUACAGUCGCAAGACCGAAACUUAAAGGAAUAGGCGGCGGGAUACUACAACCAGUGACGCGUGCGGUUUAAUUAGAUUCUACACCGUGAACCUCACCAGGGUCGACAGCAGAAUGAAGGUCAGUCUGAAGGGCUUACCUGACACGCUGAGAGGAGAUGCAUGGCCGACGUCAGCCUGUGUCGUGAGAUGAUCUGUUAAAUCAGUUAACAGGCGAGAUCCGCGUAUACAUUUGCAUGAACAAUGUAUAGACUGCCUUGGCAACAAGGAGGAAGGUGCGGGCAACGUUAGGUGAGUACGUCCCGAAUACCCUGGGCUACACGCGCGCGGCAAUGCUGUCUUCAAAGGGCUGCGACACCGAAAGGUGAAGCUAAUCUCAUAAAUGACAGCUUAGUUCAGAUUGUGGGUUGCAACUCACCCACAUGACGCUGGAAU
rnacentral:rRNA from 1 species